CACUGGAUGGAGGGACCCUCCUCUGUCUGUCUGCUUGGCUUUGUGAUGCUACACCAGCGCCGGCAUGCAUGCAUGAUGUCCUCUCCGGGCCCUUGCUGUGAUUCUGCAAGAAGCGGCAGCCAUCCUUGGCCAGUCUCUGGACCAUCUCCAGUUUGGACAAGUCCUCCUUAUCAUGCAGGAUGCACAUGCCGCUCGGCUGCAGCGUAGGGGACACGGAGAACACGUACCUCAGACCACAGUCCCACGACAUCACCGCCUUUUCCAACCGGGACAACUCCUGUCUGGGAGCUGAUUUGCAAAGAGGGCCCCUGCAGGAAGGAAGGAAGCAGCCGAGGUGUCCCGGCGACGUUUUCUCUUGGCCUUGUGCGCAUACAGGAAGUACAUAGUGUGUCCGGUGGUGAUGAAGAGCACAGAAAUAAGAACUAGGAUGCCAAAAUGCUGCGGCUGUGGAGCAGAGAUGACCAUUAUGAAGUGGAGCAGGUCCAUCAGGUAAUUCAUAGAGCUCUGCACCCCAUUUACAACACCUCGCUCGGACUCACAGAUGGUCUCCUGUAA